ensembl:lncRNA
CGUAAAGACAAACUUUAGGUUGGCUUGAGAAAGCCUAGCCUGAAAGUUUUAAGCAGUUGUUGCCUGACCAGAGAGUUUGAAAAAGUUUGAAAUGUUUAAAAAGUUUUAAGUUUGAUGGCAAGUUACUAGCAUGUCACUAGCAUGUUUCUAGCAUUAUAAGCAUGUUACUAGCAUUUUCCUAGCAUGAUAACCAAGUGAGUAGCAUGUCACUAGCAUGAUUAGCAAGUGACUAGCAUGUUCCUAGCAUGAUUAGCAGGUGAUAAGCAUUUCGCUAGCAUGAUUUCCAAGUGACUAGCAUGUCGCAAGCAUGAUUUUUAAGUUACAGGCAUGUCGCUAGCAUGUUCCUAGCAUGAUCAGCAAGUGACUAGCAUGUCGCUAGCAUGUUUCUAGCAUGAUAAGCAAGUGACUAGCAUGUUUCUAGCAUGAUUAGCAUGUGACUAGCAUGUUUCUAACAUUAUUAGCAUGUUGCUAGGAUGGAUAGAUAGAUAGAUAGAUAGAUAGAUAGAUAGAUAGAUAGAUAGAUAGAUAGAAACAGUCAGAUAAUAGAUAGAUAGAUAGAUAGAUAGAUAGAUAGAUAGAUAGUUAGAUAGAUAGAUAGAUAGAUAGAUAGAUAGAUUGAUUGAUAUAUAGAUAGAUAGAUAGAUAGUUAGAUAGAUAGAUAGAUAGAUAGAUAGAUAGAUGAGUCUGAAUGAGUUUAAAUGGGUUAGUAAUAGUACAUAGAAGGUAAGUCUGAUUGAGUCUAAUGGGCUUCAGUGUGUUUAGAUUUGAAUUUUUGACAGUUGGAGUUUACGGAAUGUUCAGUUGAGCAGAGGCUUUUCAAUGCAAGUCUAUGGGAUUUUUAUGAUUUUUAAUCUUCAUUUUUAUGAAAACUAUAAGUCGGAUCAGUCUAAAAAGAUAUAGCACACUAAGUCAGAUCAGUCUGAAGAGCUGGACUGAGUUUGGUGGUUCUAGCUUGAAAGCUCUAGGAGGAGUAGCAUUCAGAAAUUUUAGUCUCAUAAGAAUAAUAAUAAUAAUAAUAACUAGAUAAAAAAGUUCGUCAAGACAAACUUUAAGUUGGCUUGAGAAAGCCUGAACAGAAAGUUUAAAAAUUUGAAAAAGUUUAAGAAGUUUAAUAAAGCAAGUGACUAGCAUGUCAUUAGCAUGAUUAGCAAAGUUACUAGCAUGUUUCUAGCAUGAUAAGCUAGUUACUAGCAUGUUGCUAGCAUAAUUAGCAAGUUACUAGCAUGUCGCUAGCAUGUUUCUAGCAUGAUUAGCAAGUGACUAGCAUGUUUUUAGCAUGAUUAGCGAGUGACUAGCAUGUCGCUAGCAUGUUUCUAGCAUGAUUAGCAAUUGACUAGCAUGUCACUAGCAUGUUUUUAGCAUGAUUAGCAAGUGAAUAGCAUGUCGCUAGCAUGUUUCUAGCAUGAUUAGCAAGUGACUAGCAUGUCGCUAGCAUGUUUCUAGCAUGAUUA